GAUCAGCAUAAGCAGGGGCAUACACAGUAUGCGUCGGAACUCCCGGCAGUAAGAAGACUUGCAAAGGUGAUUUCCCUUUC
rfam:Acetivibrio ethanolgignens strain ACET-33324 ACET-33324.Scaf13, whole genome shotgun sequence.